rnacentral:rRNA from 1 species
GACGAACGCUGGCGGCGUGCUUAACACAUGCAAGUCGAACGGAAAGGCCCUGCUUUUGUGGGGUGCUCGAGUGGCGAACGGGUGAGUAACACGUGAGUAACCUGCCCUUGACUUUGGGAUAACUUCAGGAAACUGGGGCUAAUACCGGAUAGGAGCUCCUGCUGCAUGGUGGGGGUUGGAAAGUUUCGGCGGUUGGGGAUGGACUCGCGGCUUAUCAGCUUGUUGGUGGGGUAGUGGCUUACCAAGGCUUUGACGGGUAGCCGGCCUGAGAGGGUGACCGGCCACAUUGGGACUACGAUACGCCGCAGACUCCUACGGGGGGCAGCAGUCGGGAAUAUUGCACAAUGGGCGGGCGCCUGAUGCGGCAGCCCCGCGUGCGGGAUGCCGGCCUUCGGGUUAUAAACCGCUUUCGCCUGUGACGAAGCGUGAGUGACGGUAAUGGGUGAAGAAGCACCGGCUAACUACGUG